rnacentral:rRNA from 1 species
GACGAACGCUGGCGGCGUGCCUAAUACAUGCCAGUUGAGCGCUGAAGGUUGGUACUUGUACCGACUGGAUGAGCAGCGAACGGGUGAGUAACGCGUGGGGAAUCUGCCUUUGAGCGGGGGACAACAUUUGGAAACGAAUGCUAAUACCGCAUAAAAACUUUAAACACAAGUUUUAAGUUUGAAAGAUGCAAUUGCAUCACUCAAAGAUGAUCCCGCGUUGUAUUAGCUAGUUGGUGAGGUAAAGGCUCACCAAGGCGAUGAUACAUAGCCGACCUGAGAGGGUGAUCGGCCACAUUGGGACUGAGACACGGCCCAAACUCCUACGGGAGGCAGCAGUAGGGAAUCUUCGGCAAUGGACGAAAGUCUGACCGAGCAACGCCGCGUGAGUGAAGAAGGUUUUCGGAUCGUAAAACUCUGUUGGUAGAGAAGAACGUUGGUGAGAGUGGAAAGCUCACCAAGUGACGGUAACUACCCAGAAAGGGACGGCUAACUACGUG